GCGACCACCGAAGUUAAGCAACAUUGAGCCUGGUCUGUACCUAGAUGGGUGACCACUUGAGAAUACCAGGUGCUGUAAG